UUCCGUAGGUGAACCUGCGGAAGGAUCAUUACCGAGUGCGGGUCCUUUGGGCCCAACCUCCCAUCCGUGUCUAUUGUACCCUGUUGCUUCGGCGGGCCCGCCGCUUGUCGGCCGCCGGGGGGGCGCCUCUGCCCCCCGGGCCCGUGCCCGCCGGAGACCCCAACACGAACACUGUCUGAAAGCGUGCAGUCUGAGUUGAUUGAAUGCAAUCAGUUAAAACUUUCAACAAUGGAUCUCUUGGUUCCGGCAUCGAUGAAGAACGCAGCGAAUGCGAUAACUAAUGUGAAUUGCAGAAUUCAGUGAAUCAUCGAGUCUUUGAACGCACAUUGCGCCCCCUGGUAUUCCGGGGGGCAUGCCUGUCCGAGCGUCAUUGCUGCCCUCAAGCCCGGCUUGUGUGUUGGGUCGCCGUCCCCCUCUCCGGGGGGACGGGCCCGAAAGGCAGCGGCGGCACCGCGUCCGAUCCUCGAGCGUAUGGGGCUUUGUCACAUGCUCUGUAGGAUUGGCCGGCGCCUGCCGACGUUUUCCAACCAUUCUUCCAGGUGACCUCGGAUCAGGUAGGAAAACCCA
rnacentral:rRNA from 1 species